GCGAACGCUGGCGGCAGGCCUAACACAUGCAAGUCGCACGAACCUUUCGGGGUUAGUGGCGGACGGGUGAGUAACACGUGGGAACGUGCCUUUAGGUUCGGAAUAACUCAGGGAAACUUGUGCUAAUACCGAAUGUGCCCUUCGGGGGAAAGAUUUAUCGCCUUUAGAGCGGCCCGCGUCUGAUUAGCUAGUUGGUUGAGGUAAUGGCUCACCAAGGCGACGAUCAGUAGCUGGUCUGAGAGGAUGAUCAGCCACAUUGGGACUGAGACACGGCCCAAACUCCUACGGGAGGCAGCAGUGGGGAAUCUUGCGCAAUGGGCGAAAGCCUGACGCAGCCAUGCCGCGUGAAUGAUGAAGGUCUUAGGAUUGUAAAAUUCUUUCACCGGGGACGAUAAUGACGGUACCCGGAGAAGAAGCCCCGGCUAACUUCGUG
rnacentral:rRNA from 1 species